GAUCUCGCGCAGCUACCAUGCAGUCGAGCGGUAACAGAUCCAGCUUGCUGGAUGCUGACGAGCGGCGGACGGGUGAGUAAUGCAUAGGAAUCUGCCCGAUAGUGGGGGAUAACCUGGGGAAACCCAGGCUAAUACCGCAUACGUCCUACGGGAGAAAGGGGGCUUCGGCUCCCGCUAUCGGAUGAGCCUAUGUCGGAUUAGCUAGUUGGUGAGGUAAAGGCUCACCAAGGCAACGAUCCGUAGCUGGUCUGAGAGGAUGAUCAGCCACAUCGGGACUGAGACACGGCCCGAACUCCUACGGGAGGCAGCAGUGGGGAAUAUUGGACAAUGGGGGCAACCCUGAUCCAGCCAUGCCGCGUGUGUGAAGAAGGCCCUCGGGUUGUAAAGCACUUUCAGCGAGGAAGAACGCCUAGCGGUUAAUACCCGCUAGGAAAGACAUCACUCGCAGAAGAAGCACCGGCUAACUCCGUGCCAGCAGCCGCGGUAAUACGGAGGGUGCAAGCGUUAAU
rnacentral:rRNA from 1 species